rnacentral:sRNA from 1 species
AGCGGGACCCUGCGGCUCGGGAUGGAGGCUGGACACCUGUUCUGCUGUUGUGUCUUGCCAUUCUCCUGAAGAACAGAGGCACACUGUAAAACCCAACACUUCCCCUUGCAUUCUAUGAGAUUACAGCAAGAUGGAAAUACCAAAUCCCCCUACCUCCAAAUGUAUCACUUACUGGAAAAGAAAAGUGAAAUCUGAAUACAUGCGACUUCGACAACUUAAACGGCUUCAGGCAAAUAUGGGUGCAAAGGCUUUGUAUGUGGCAAAUUUUGCAAAGGUUCAAGAAAAAACUCAGAUCCUCAAUGAAGAAUGGAAGAAGCUUCGUGUCCAACCUGUUCAGUCAAUGAAGCCUGUGAGUGGACACCCUUUUCUCAAAAAGAGAUGGGGUUUCACCAUGUUGGCCUGGCUGGUCUCCAACUGACUUCAAGUGAUCUGCCUGUCUUGGCCUCCCAAAGUGCUGGGAUUACUGGCAUGAGCCACUAUGCCCAGCCAAUUUUGGAAGGAAAUUACAUUUCUUUCUUGGGUGAUAUGCCCGUCUUUCCCUCUCCAUGUCAUUGCUUAUAUUUCAG